UACGUAGGUGGCAAGCGUUUGUCCGGAUUUACUGGGCGUAAAGAGCGCGCAGGCGGUCGUUCAAGUCGCGUGUGAAAGCCCCCGGCUCAACUGGGGAGGGUCACGCGAUACUGAUCGACUGGAAGGCAGGAGAGGGUAGUGGAAUUCCCGGUGUAGUGGUGAAAUGCGUAGAUAUCGGGAGGAACACCAGUGGCGAAGGCGGUUCUCUGGGCAUGUCCUGACGCUGAGGAGCGAAAGCGUGGGGAGCGAACAGG
rnacentral:rRNA from 1 species